GACGAACGCUGGCGGCGUGCUUAACACAUGCAAGUCGAACGGUAAGGCCCUUCGGGGUACACGAGUGGCGAACGGGUGAGUAACACGUGGGUGAUCUGCCCUGCACUUCGGGAUAAGCCUGGGAAACUGGGUCUAAUACCGGAUAGGACCACUGCCUGCAUGGGGGGUGGUGGAAAGCUUUUGCGGUGUGGGAUGGGCCCGCGGCCUAUCAGCCUGUUGGUGGGGUGAUGGCCUACCAAGGCGACGACGGGUAGCCGGCCUGAGAGGGUGACCGGCCACACUGGGACUGAGAUCCGGCCCAGACUCCUACGGGAGGCAGCAGUGGGGAAUAUUGCACAAUGGGCGCAAGCCUGAUGCAGCGACGCCGCGUGAGGGAUGACGGCCUUCGGGUUGUAAACCUCUUUCAGCACCGACGAAGCGCAAGUGACGGUAGGUGCAGAAGAAGGACCGGCCAACUACGUGCCAGCCGCCGCCGUAA
rnacentral:rRNA from 1 species